UCUCCCACAUCACCGCCACCACCACCCCUAUCCCAUCCCUCCCCUCGUCUCCCUACCAGACCUUGCCGCCGCCGGCCUCCCCUCCUCUCCGCUUCCCUCCCACCUCAGGCGGAGCCCCCACCUAUCCAUCUCUCUCUAGCGACCCCUCUCUCUCCCCCAGGACUCAUCUUCGGCACUAGGGUUUGCGGUGGCUUUGCCCCAUGCUCGCCAUGGCUCUCCAGCAACCAGGACAACGAUGAUGUCGACGGGAUCCUACGGGCGCGUCCUCCUGCAGCCACUGGCGAACCUACCAUCCUCUAGGGUUUGAGCCACCGCGUCGCCGACGUGGCUCCGACGUUGUUCCAAUCCGUCAUCGCUCGAGGAACGAAAGGCCAUGGACGGGAUGGCCACUUCCUCCCCUGCUCCGACGCCAUGGAGGCCACCUUCUCGCUGCAGCGUCUCUUGCUGUCGAGUCUCUCUGUGGUGGUCUGGUGGCUGUGAUCUCUACCCGCCCCAAUGGAUUGGCCAGCGUUGGCGUACACAAUGGAGGUGCUGCUGUUCUGCUACGCCAACCUCAUCCUACAGCCCUCCGUCGCCCCACUAGCAAGCUGCAAGGUUAUCAUCAGGAAUAAACAACUUAUAGUUAGCUGAACAAGUGUAGUUUUGUGUAGCAAACAGUUUCUUUGGAUGAAGCAUCUGUCCUAGUUUCGUCGGCUAUAGCGUGUGCUGUAAGUUCCAAUCCAACCUUCUGGAAAGCAAUGCAUUGGUCUUCUAAUUGUUACAACAAAGUUUGCAACAAUUCAAAAGUUGUUCAACUAGACAACUGAUCUAAGAGCUUGCUUCUCAGCAAAAUUGUUGCUACGAUGCGACGUUACAAUCAGUCGGUGUAUCCUUCUGAAUCUUGGUUGUGUGUUGGAACUUAUUUAUCCGUGGGAACGUUUGGGGAUUGCAUUGUUGCAUUCUGAAUCAUACAAUUUGGAGACGUUUAUUUAUCUGUGAGAAGGAACAUUAAGAUAUUCAUCUGCUGCAUUCUAAAUUAGACAAUGAGAAUUGUUUUAUUUUUCAGUACACCAGGUGAUGUAGCUGUAAGUUCCAGCCCGGCCUUUGCACUGGCUAUGUUUCUAGGCAUAGUCCAGUUGUUCUGUUUAAUUUGUAUGAAGUUGAAGUCCCAGUUUUUGCUUGUAAACAUCUUGCUAUUUAUUUGAUAUGACCUGGUUAUUUUUUGAACGACAUGGUCAAGGUUAUUAACAAUUAUCCGUGCUGCCAAUUCGAACAUGCACAUGAUUUUUAGGAUAUCGCAAGCUCUUGCAAACGAUUUGGUUAAUGAGUUGCAAUAAUAUACAACCAUAGAAUCCUACACCAUGUGGUGGACUUAAGUAUCUUAGUGACUUCAUUUGAUGUGUGUGUAUUUCUGUUAAUUUUAAGCUUAUGUUGCUGUGAGAAUGUACCUCACAGACCAUCUGUGUAUUUAUUGUGGACUUCUUGUAUGAGUGGGGAUUGUGGUAGUUCUGUCACAACAUUCUGUUAGCUAAAAUGAAAUCAGAAAAUGAGCUUUGUUUGUUCUUGUACUCUUUGUAUGUUCCUUUUGUUUUUUUAAUUUGAUGACAAUGAACCAAUAUAACCAAUUACCAGUAGCUACUGUGCAUUGCCAAGUACAACUGUUUUACUUUGUAUGGAAUCAUGUAUAGAUAUUAUUUCUUUAAGUGUUGCUGGCUAUAUUAAAAUUAUACUCUGAGGCACUGUAGCAUUAGUGUGUUGUUUCGCUUUGGGCCUUCUCUAUCUAUGCUUGUAAGUCAGGUUGUUUUUGUGGCAUCCAGGGGCACAAUGCUAGUAGGCAAGCUAGCACACAUGGAUUCGUGAACUGGCUUGGAUGUGUUCUUGGUCGUCUGGGUUGGAUGAGGACGAUGGAAACGAUGUGAGACCAGCGUGAUCCACCUCCCACUUCCUUCUUGUGAUUCCCUAACUACUCAACAUGUUGAUUGGUUCUGAACAUCUGAAACUUCUUGUGUGCAGGGUACACAUGUACUGGCUAUUUAUAGUGUUUUAUUUGCUGCCAUGUUUUAUGCAUGUUCUUAUACUCCAAUUACUUUUGGAGUCUGGAUAUAAUGAUGAAGUACUUUAUUUGUAUGGUCAUACUGCUUGUCACUCCAUAUGUUAUAGUGAUUCCCUCUGUUUCCUUAUAUGUUCUUGUAGUUUGGUUGCUUUCCUGUUCAUGCAUGUUUGUACAUCUAUAUAUAGUUUUGCUGUGAAUCUGUCAUGCAUGCAUGUAUUGAAAUGCAGGAAAUGUUGAAUACAUGUUCGCUCUCAGCUGGGAUAUUGGAUUGUACAUAGUUAUGUGAUUUAUUCAUGUCUGCUUCUUAUCUUAUUAAGUGAUUAUAUUUAUGUCCUUGCUACCUGUAGGAUGGUCAAUAGCUUGUUCUGUAGUUUAUCUAUUCCUGUACAGUUUGCUUUUCCCUUCAUAUCUGACUACGUAUUGUAGAAUCUCUAAUUUAUGCCUGUAGCAUUGUUCUACUAUCUGUGUGAUGCUGAAAAAUAUGCUCUUAAUCUGUUGCUAUAUUCUCACCAAAUGCACAGUUUAUUUCCUUAGACCUACUGUUAAACAAAGGCUUAACUUGUAACAUUUUUUCUUAACAAUAAGCAUAGAAUUCCUGACUAUGUUAUAUGAUCAGCUUACUCCUGCUUGAAUAACUAUACUAAUUCCCGACUCUGUUAUAUGUAAGGAGUAAAAUAGUUUACUCGAGUGAUAUCCACUGGAUCACUAUCUUAAAUCACCUUAUUAGCAUUGUGUGCUGCUAAUAGUAUUUUAGACUUACCAUAUCCUCUCUGGCUAGGUCUUCCUCACCGGCGAUGGCAGGAGCGCAUGAUAGACUUCUAAAUGGACAAGUAUCUGCAACGUUCAGUGUCAAUGAUGAUGCUUACCAGAUAUUCUACUGUAGCCCCAUCCAUAUCAUCGACGUGAAGUCAGAUCUACUCGUCCUGAAAUUGAUGGCCUGAAGCUUGAUACACAUAUCAUGUGACACACAUUAGGAAAUUUGAAUAACAUCGACAUAGGUUCUCUGUUAUCUUGCACUGGGUUGAUACUUACCGGUUUCCCUUACAAAUAUAUUACAUAUUUUCUUUUAUGAGAAUUUUAUCUGCAUGGUUUCUUAUUAGAUCUCAAAUUCUGCAGCUAUUUUUCAUUGUUAGGAAAAUGUUAUAUGCACGGCUUCACUUGAUUAUGUUCCUAACUUUUCUGAUUUAUAACCUACAGAUGCCUUCAUUUGUCAAAAGUUGGUGUACAGGAACUCCAGGAGAAGAAUCCCAAAGAAAACAUGCACCCAGCAAUUUGUUCUAGCUCACUGGAGCAUCAUUUUGAAGUACCUAAUUUAUGGCUGAGCACCUGAUUUAUGGUUGAGUACCUGUUUUGUACUAUGCAUUAUUGUAAAGUACUUUGUUUGGCCAUUGUAUGAAAACACUAUGUGUUUUUGGCU